GAGCUCUCCAGAGUGUCUCUUAUCCAAAAGAUCCCGAACUUCCAACAUCUUUUCUAAACCGCAGUUGAGAACACAGCUCUGUAACUAAUCACCUCUGGUAAUAGAGGAUGUGUCACAGAAGCCACAGUUCUACUAGCUCGUGGAAAUAUGGUCUUCCUACAGUUAUCUUGCACUUUGGAGAAAAUACUCUUGGCUUAACAUAUUACCUUCUUGCUCGUUUCUUUUGGGACUGGAAAAAAGAUCAAUCAGCUUCAGGAACUUGAAAAUUUUCAAAACAAGCUGCAGCCACCACGCGGGAGAAAGCAGUUCACUGGUGAAUCCCUUGUCUACACUGUGUCUCCACUCCUCCCUGCUCGUGAAUAAGGUAAAUUAACCCCUCUGAUCUAUUUUCCUUAGCUUCAGGAAAAAACAGAGAUCUGGACAUGCACGGAUGUCCUCCUGCAUUAUCAACAAAAUAAAUUUGGAUACUGUCUUGGUUUGGAAAGACAGGUGUCUGCUAAGUAAGGCAGGAGCCUCCCCUCAAAUGGAAAAAAUGUAGAGCCCCUCCC